CUUUAAAAAAAAUUAGAAAAAUAAAAUUACUUAUUUCCGUAUAUACUUAAUAUUUAUGCAAAUAUUACAUACAUGUACAGUUGUACUGAUUUAUACCUAUACACUAACAUCUGUACAAGUGUUCCAGCAUAUUGAGCAUCGAAAAACAGAUCAAAGACUGUUUAUAAAUGAUGGUCGCAAUCGUAUUUCUCGAGUCAGUUAUCGCUAUUUGCGCUGCGAUUAUUCACCUGGCGACAACAAAGGAACGCCUUGUCAUCACUCAUGGCGAAGACGCGGUCGACAAUUUGUGAGAGUAGAGAUACGUGCUGUGUCACCGUGUAUGAAGUGAGCAAUGUGACAGAUUGCACGACGGAUUUGCACAAGUAUGAGACGUAUCUUCGAUUUAAUAAAAACGCACGUGAUACGAGUCUGAGAUUGUGCGAUGUUCACUACGACACACCGUGGGUGGUACGACAGUGGGACUAAAGCGCCGUCUGAGCGGACAAAAUCUCAAAAAGGAGAAUGGCUUGUAGCCAGAGUUUCUAAUUGUUGUAUUAUUAUGUAGAAAUGUCCAAAAUUUACGAAAACAUAUAUCAUUCCACGAAUCAUCGUCAGAAUAAUGAGAAAAUCAGGCGUAAAUUUUUUAGUUGUGAGAGAUUCGGAACACUUCGGAACUCGCGGAUGGAACGAGCGGAAAGCUGGAACGGACGAGCAUAUGGAACGAGCGAGAAGCUGAUACGGACGAGCUUCUGGCCACGAGCGAGAAGCUCGUACGGACGAGCUUCUGGCCACGAGCAAGAAGCUCGUACGGAUGAGCUUCUGGCUAACGAACGCAUACGUUGGUACGGACGAGCUUCUAGCCACGAGCGAGAAUCAGUUACGCCAAUAGUUUAUGUUAAACACAUAUAUGAAUUCAUCGUUCGCAAAAGGUGUUAGCGCGACGCUCGCUUUUCAGACACCAAUCAAUGGUGAUCUUUAGCAGUGGCCCGAGUAUUAACUAGCUAGCAGAUGAGCACAACAAGAAGUAGCGAUGUGUCGACUUGCGUCAUUCGCGAAUAAACGAUAGAGACGGUUAGUAACAUGAAGAACGUAACGCAACUUUUCCCAAAAGAAAUCCACUCGUGAUAUAAAAAAUUUAGAAAUUAUGAAUGAAAAAAAUUGAUUGAUUUUGAAGAUUAUUUAUACAAUGAUAUAUUUUUUCCGUAUUACGUAAUACAAACAAAGCACAUUGAAUUUUUAAUAUCUCUAUGUUGACAAAAAAUUGAUCAUACUUAUAUAAUUGUGCUCAUGCAAUUUAUGGUAAUUGAAUAAAAUCUUUAGUUUUAAAUUCACGUGAAUUAAACAUCGCAUUAAAUGAGCUUUAAAUAACUUCAAAAUUCGUAAAAUUCAUGAUUUUUUUAAAUAAGAUCUUUGUGAAUUUACUCAUUUUCCCUAGUUUACGUACUUUUAUAAAUCUCGAUUCUCAUUGUUGUUAUCUUAUUGCAACCCUCUAUUUCGUGACCUUUUAACGUUCGCGAGAAAAAUGACUCGUACGCGAAAACGCAUGUGCGUACAGACGAUGACGGCGCGAAGUUUGAGAUCAGAAUGCGUUUUGCGUUAAACUUUUGCGUAGUAUGUAUUUCUACAUGUUCUUCAUAAAAUCUCACAUUUGCUUUUUACUUUUGCAGCAUGCGUGCCAAAGUAAAAGCACUACAAACAACUAUAAUAUUAUGCAAUCUUGAGUUAUAAUAUAUUAAACUAUAACAUAUUAAAGAAUUCUGAAUUAUUAUAUUAUCGCAAUUUCUUUAUCUUAUAGCCGACCCGGAUUAUGUUUUUUUACAUUAUAGAAAUAGAAUUCUUAUUUCUUUUAUAAAAACGUUUCGUGUUAAUUUAGUUAUGCGCAAAUACUGCAAAUAUAGCUCUUUUAAUUAUGAUAUAUGCCAAAUCAAUAAUCAUAGAAAGGAAAAAUAAAUAAAAAUAAUUUCGCUGACAUGGACGUCAGCGAUCGAUAGAAGUCGCUGUAGUUUUAGUGAAAAAGAGGGUUUUAUCAUAUCGCGAAAAAACCUGUUGCUUUAGCGGCCACGUUGCGUCGCAUCUCAUUCGCCGCGCCGUCGCCACCGGCAUGGAAAAAGAUUUGUUUGCCAAGUUCGUUAGGGGAGCAGGUCACGAAACUAAAUACGAGGAACGGACCAGCCGAGCACAUGUGACUGAUACAUAGAGCAACACAGUUGCUGUUGAAUUCGUAGAAAGCAAAUGCGUUACGUCGCUUUUAUCCACGCUCACGCUUGUCGAGAUGUUUUGCAACGGGCAACGCGCGCUGCCCGUCAUCGAACGUGAGCAUACAUCGAUAUCUGGACAGAUAUCUACUAACGUCAUGUUAAUAAUGAUACAUCAAUGAAGACGGCAUAACACAUACAAGAGAAAACAAUCACUUUAAACCGUCUUGGAUGGUUAUUUCUUUUAAUUUUUCUUUUCCUCUUUUCGGAGUGAAACCAAACGCGACUGCUGUCGGCGACUGCUCGCGCGCGCGCGCAGACGUCAGCUGUGGAUUUUCGAUAUCUCGUGUGUGUGUGUACGUGUGACUGUGUGUGUAUGCUCGAUAAGCACGUUAUCACAAGGGUGCGCACUUACCGUGAACGGUUAAUUCCGCUCGCACAACGGACGAUGGCACUCGGCGAGGACGACAUAACCCACGCAAUGCGCUGCAUCGGCCAUAUUGUUUACUGGAAAGGAGGUUCGGCAUCGGCACAGCCGUCCGUGCUUGCAUCCCGCAUCAGACAAAUGAGUGAACAUGGCGCCAUCGUGUCUACAACGAGAGAAACAAGUACGCUUGAGUUGAGUGUCGACUUGCCGAGGACGUCGAGUAAUGUGAGUGAUAUAACCUAACGAGUAAUGUAACAAAUUAUUUACUGACAAAAAAACCAUAAACCAAGUUUAUGGAGGGUGUUGUGCCGUAGCGCCCGUAGCUGUGAAGUUUACGUCUACGUGAAUAAUUUACGUACAGUCUACGUAAUAUUUAUUAUACAAGAAGAACUCAGAGAAUUUUGGCCGCCCGAAAUGCGUAACUGCUUGCAAACCAGUGAACAAAGACUUGUUUGAAAUCUUUUGAAAGUGGCGUUCGCAGAUGUACUGAAGAUAAUAUUUGCAGUUCAACCCGAAGGUUUAUAUACUCCAUCCUCGUAAGCCGCCGGCGAUCUUCUCAGUAACGGAGUGUCAACUGCACCGAGUUCUGGCUUAGCAACAUUGUUGUUCCAUCCGUCAUAACCAGGAUACUCGGACGCAGUGCGAUAU